UACUUCCUCAAGUUCCUAUUACGACAUAGUUCUCUACAAAUUAUUUAAUUAAUGCAGAAUUUUCUUUUGCUGAUAACAGUUCAGGUCCAAUUUAUUUUUCUUGCGAGCAAAAUUUGAACACAUUGUUCACAGUAAUCUUCCAUAGCAUUGCUGUAAUGAAGUCAAUGCUUCAAAACCACGUGGGAAGGUUUCCAAUGAUUAUACUGUAUAAAUAGUUUUGUUUUCCACUUUUAGGUACAAUUCUUCCAGAAAUAUCAAUACAAAUUGUGGACAGAAAUAUAUUGCUAAAACAUAUUAAGAACACAUCGAAAGCAAUAUGUCACAUUUAAUUUACUGUAUCAAAUGGGCUGCAGCAAUUCAAGAAGGCAACUCACCACCGUCUUCUCAAAGGCACCCAGGGAUGGGCAAUAAAUGAUGGCCCAGCUAGCAAAGCCAAAUCUCAUGAAUGAAUAAAAAAUUACUAGCUGUUAGCUGGCUGACAAAAGGCAGUUGUCCAGAAUUUAUUUUAAAAUUAGAGAAAAUGUGCAGCAAUUAUUGGAAUAUCAUAACAUUAUAUUGGCAAGAUUUUUUUGACUCUAUAAAACUACAUCAGUGUAUGACAUAUCAUUUUUCUUCUCCCAAUAUAAUGACCUCCUUCUGACACAGUGAAGGAUGUUUAGAUUAAUCUAAACUGUGCACCAAUUAGAAGUUUCAAUGUAAUUUCUGUAACUAUCUUCUGGAAAUCCUCCUUUCCUAUGUUGUAAAAUGGACAAUACAUUACAAAUGCAACUGUACUCUCGGGACAGUUAUAUAUUCCUGAAAUAUUAAAUAUUGUUAGCUCCAGUCUUAUUGAUGGUGUUUGUUCCUGCAUUGGUGUCAUAUUUAUUUUAAUAUUAGAUUUUCACAUUGUUACUAUCUUGUGGUGUAGAAAAUAUUUUAGUUCAUGAUAAUGUAACCUAUAAACUCAUUAAAGACUGCCAUUUGAAGUAU